rnacentral:rRNA from 1 species
CCUACGGGUGGCAGCAGUGAGGAAUAUUGGUCAAUGGGCGCGAGCCUGAACCAGCCAAGUAGCGUGAAGGAUGACUGCCCUACGGUUUGUAAACUUCUUUUAUAAAGGAAUAAAGUGAGGCACGUGUGCCUUUUCGUAUGUACUGUAUGAAGAAGGAACGGCUAACUCCGUGCCAGCAGCCGCGGUAAGACGGAGGAUCCGAGUGUUAUCCGGAUUUAUAGGGUUUAAAGGGAGCGUAGAUGGGUUGUUAAGUCAGUUGUGUAAGUCUGCGGCUUAACCGUAAAAUUGCAAUGGAUACUGGCAGUCUUGAGUACAGUUGAGGUAGGCGGAAUUCGUGGUGUAGCGGUGAAAUGCUUAGAUAUCACGAAGAACUCCGAUUGCGAAGGCAGCUUACU